AUGGAGGCCACCAUGGCGGCGGUGGUGGUGGCCCGUUACACCGACGAGGAUAUCAGGUCCCUGGUACACGACCACAUCGUCGAUCCGCAGGUGGAGGCCGACCUCACAAGUAUGCAGUCCGAGGUGAGGAGGGCGCUGCAGGAGAGGGCCGAGUUCCCCUCCAUCGCGCAGCUGGACUGGGUGGACUACAUCGAGCAAACUGCCGUCAAGCUCGCCCGCGAGAUGGAGGAGGACGGGGGGGACCUCUGGCACGGCGCCGACGUGUUCGCCACAAGGCCCGGCGAGGAGGGGCUGGUGUCCGAGCUUCGGAGCCAGGCCGCAUGGUGUGACCAACGGCGUGCACAGGCCGACGCGCUUACGGCCGACGCUCGGGGCCUGCGGGACAGGUAUCUGAGGACAGCCGCCGGGAUCACCGUGGAACACAAGGAUGGUUCCGAGCUCCUGCGCGCGGCGACGUCAGAGUUCCGGCAUCACGUGGCCAAGGAGAUGGACGGCGGCGGGGUGCCCGAGACAGACGCGGCUAGGGCAGAGGCGAUUGAGGCGGCCGCAAGGGCCGGUCAGGGCGUCGGCGCACGGUUCACGAAGAUGCUCGUGGGGCUGGCUGAGAGACUCGGGCAGCGCGCGUUGGAUUGUGGUGCCGGCGAUGAGGCGCUCAAGGAGGCUCUGAUGCGGCGCGCCGCGGAGGUGGAGGAGCUGUGCACGGACCCGGAAGCGCUGGUGACUAGGAUGCUGGCGUCGAGUUCCUGGAGGCUGUGGAGGGCUCUCAACGCCCAAGCCACACCUCAAGGCUCGAUGAACGCAACGCCUCUUUGA
rnacentral:rRNA from 1 species